GAUUUCAAUGGACUAAUCGAGCACAAAUGAGUGGGUUAAUUUCUGCCAUUGGAUUGUAUUGCUAUGGGGAACGACCCACGACAGGAAGAACAAAUAAACAAAAAAAACUUACAAAUACCACAAAAUGAUGAGUCAACAAAAAUACAAUUAUCCAGACAGGAUAUGAAACAGAUUAUAGCUAUCUGAAAAAAAUAAUGUAAAUGACGUUGAUAUGAUAAGCGAAUAUUUACCCUAUUGUGAGACAGACAACUUCUACUCUAUAAAACCAAAGGAUACAGAAAGACACUAACAAAAACGAGUUGGACACAAAAGGGUGCAUGGCUCGGUGAAACUGAAUCCAAAGCUGAAGAAGACCGAGCUUAUUAUUUUUUUUUCCUCGUGGUUUUUCGGCUCGAAGAGUAGGCUUUUCAGCAAAUUCUACAAAACUGCAUAUUCUCUGAUGAAACGCACUGCAAGCCUAGAUACUUAAAGCGCACCGCUCCCUCAUCCACCUGUGCAGUGGAGAGGAGAGAACCAACCCUGGGACACGCGCCACCUAUCGUCACCGGAGGGGAUAAUUGAGAAGGACCAAACGUGAGCAUCUUUUGCUAAACGUAAUACGUUUUUUUUUCUCUCUCUCUCCCAGGCUGUUUAAUCCGAGUGAAAUGAACUGUGACUGUCGGACUAUGACGACCAUGUAUAGCAGCCGAAGAAGAAAGAAUUUUAUCCAGAAGAAGAAAAGUUGGAACACUCUUAUUCAACCGACAUGACCACAACUGGAAGGGGGAAAACGGACCAAAAUGAUAGCGUUGGAAGUUUGACAGUCUCACAGUCUCACACAUACCAGGGAUGAAAAUAUAAGGUUUGCGGAGUGUUAAGGAAGUGAGCAUCAGCGGUUUGGGUUGUUAAUGUUUUAUAUUUGUAAACGUUUAUUUAUUUGCCUCCCUCUAUGAACGUGCGUUUAUUUUUACUAUCGCAAUAACCACUAUGAGUGGAGCAUGUAUAACGGCGCAUGCCCCGUGCACCUACAAGAGCGAAAGAGAUGUGUAUAUUGAGGUGCUUCUCGCACGUGCCAGGUGCAGUCAGGUGCGUACAGGUACUUUCGUUGAAGUUUUCCCGGUGUGUUUUAAACAAAGUCCAUGUGAACUCAUCUCUCUGACCAGGUUUGAAAGACGUCAAGUGUAUACUUCAUUCAUUUUUUUUCACAGGUGUUAUUCAAGGUUAUAUCGACGAACAUAUUUCACUCUAUUGCAACUAUACCAAAUGGCUAUUACUCCAAUUCAUGUUUCUCUAUUUGAUUAAUUCAUUUAUUUCCUGGUGAUGCUGCUGCUUCAAUGUAUGUUUGUCUCUCUCGCUGUAAAUGGAGAGGAAGGCUCCACCUUUGCAACGCUGUGAUUGGUUAUGUAAAUAAAGUAUUAUAUUUGCUGUCUUGUCCUAUGCAGUUAUCAACUGUAUGGAUAAUUAAAUAAUCAAUCAAGA